rnacentral:rRNA from 1 species
AGUUGCAGGGUAUAGACCCGAAACCCGGUGAUCUAGCCAUGGGCAGGUUGAAGGUUGGGUAACACUAACUGGAGGACCGAACCGACUAAUGUUGAAAAAUUAGCGGAUGACUUGUGGCUGGGGGUGAAAGGCCAAUCAAACCGGGAGAUAGCUGGUUCUCCCCGAAAGCUAUUUAGGUAGCGCCUCGUGAAUUCAUCUCCGGGGGUAGAGCACUGUUUCGGCAAGGGGGUCAUCCCGACUUACCAACCCGAUGCAAACUGCGAAUACCGGAGAAUGUUAUCACGGGAGACACACGGCGGGUGCUAACGUCCGUCGUGAAGAGGGAAACAACCCAGACCGCCAGCUAAGGUCCCAAAGUCAUGGUUAAGUGGGAAACGAUGUGGGAAGGCCCAGACAGCCAGGAUGUUGGCUUAGAAGCAGCCAUCAUUUAAAGAAAGCGUAAUAGCUCACUGGUCGAGUCGGCCUGCGCGGAAGAUGUAACGGGGCUAAACCAUGCACCGAAGCUGCGGCAGCGACGCUUAUGCGUUGUUGGGUAGGGGAGCGUUCUGUAAGCCUGCGAAGGUGUGCUGUGAGGCAUGCUGGAGGUAUCAGAAGUGCGAAUGCUGACAUAAGUAACGAUAAAGCGG